CAACCUGCCCAUCACUUGGGGAUAACCUUGCGAAAGUAAGACUAAUACUCAAUGACAUCCCACGAAGGCAUCCGAAUGGGAUUAAAGAUUUAUCGGUGAUGGAUGGGGAUGCGUCUGAUUAGCUUGUUGGCGGGGUAACGGCCCACCAAGGCAACGAUCAGUAGGGGUUCUGAGAGGAAGGUCCCCCACAUUGGAACUGAGACACGGUCCAAACUCCUACGGGAGGCAGCAGUGAGGAAUAUUGGUCAAUGGACGGGAGUCUGAACCAGCCAAGUAGCGUGAAGGAUGACUGCCCUAUGGGUUGUAAACUUCUUUUAUACGGGAAUAAAGUGAUCCACGUGUGGGUUUUUGUAUGUACCGUAUGAAUAAGGACCGGCUAACUCCGUGCCAGCAGCUGCGGUAAUACGGAAGGUCCGGGCGUUAUCCGGAUUUAUUGGGUUUAAAGGGAGCGUAGGCCGGAGAUUAAGCGUGUUGUGAAAUGUAGUGGCUCAACCUCUGCACUGCAGCGCGAACUGGUCUUCUUGAGUACGCACAACGUGGGCGGAAUUCGUGGUGUAGCGGUGAAAUGCUUAGAUAUCACGAAGAACUCCGAUUG
rnacentral:rRNA from 1 species